rnacentral:misc_RNA from 1 species
GGAGUAAAUUUCCCAUUCUUUUCAGUAUCAAUUGUUGAGGGAUGAAAUUGAUUGGAAAAGAAAAAUUAUGAUGAGAGGACAGUGGUAGAGCAUACUGACUUUAGGCAUCAUAGAUUGGGCAGCUGUAACAAUUUGUAUUAACCAAAGCUCUCAUCUUCCCUGUGAUGAGUUUGCCGUAAAUUUCUUUUCAAUGACUAAAUUAUCACUGAUAUAGUUGGUUCAUGAGAUGGCUGCAUAAUUUUGCUAAAAAGCCAAAAUAGAUUUUCACUGUAGAAUUACAUGCUAUUUUAACUUCUUUUGUAUCUUCAUACUUUCUAGUUCUGGAAUGACUACUAUCCCUUUCAGAAAUUGAACUCAG